UGUGACACCCCAACAGAGUUGCCACGGACAUUUAACUUAUUUCUGCGCCCUUUUUCCCCCUCUACAAAAUACAGCCUGGCUAAAUGCUUUGAGACUUCAGCAAGGAAAGGGUUAAGAACAUUUUCUAUGCUAUAGCUGUCAUGCGCUUGGACAGUUAACAGCCGUGUGCCGAGUCUGUUGGCAGUUGGGCGGCGGCCAUCUUAGGAGGAUGAGCAGAGUGGAACAGGACCUAGGAGCAGAAGGUGCUGAGCUGAUUUGGUGGUGUACAUGGUGACCAAAGGAGACUCCUUACCUGAUCUUCAAUAAAUCAGAGUCCAGCAGCUGACAAAGAGAGUGUCUAUGGAGUGAAUAAAGAAUGUAGUGAAGAAAACUGAAUUCCGCUCUGUGAAAGUAAAAGGAUCUUGUGCCAGAGAUGCUGAAAAAACACUAAGGGAUGGUGUCGUUCCCAUUUUGUCAUCUCCCUCCUAAUGGUAUAGCCUGGAGCUGGUGUUAGGAGAGCGCAGAGGAGAUUAUGUGAUGUGAGAGGCUGAGAGAGAUGAAAGCUCACAUAUAGUACAGGUUCUAAACUAAUACAACAACUCUACGUUUCAUCUGUAGAACAUUCAAGUCCACCACCAUCUCUCUCUUUAUUGUCUUUUCCAACUAAUCCCCAAUUCUCCAACAUCAUACCUCCCAAGCGGGCUUGAUUUCAGCAGGACAGUUUGAUUUGGAAUAAAAUUCUGUCCUCAUCAAGCUGAACAUUUACAUGCCAGAUUGCCGGCUAAUUGCUACUCCCUGGUGCUGCUAAAUCGGCAAAACAUCUAUAGCACCUUAAUCCCUUGCAAUGCGACCAUAUGUAACUGCUUCCACCAUGAAUACUUAACACCCCAUCGUUGCCAUCUGGACUCACGUUGGUGGGGACAUUCCUCUAUACAGCUCACGUGGACUGCCAAUUUCCAGCAAUAAUUCUUCUACUUCCAAGAGGGACAAAUUCUUUUUGAAACUCCCAUUGAAUAUGUUCCACAAUCUGUCAAUAAUUUAACUAUUAAAUUCUGCAACGUGACAAAAAUUCUGGAAUAUUCAUAAAAUACCGGAAGAUAAUAUGUCUUCUACAGAGGGUACUGUACCGUACUGUAGCUCCCAUACAAUACCCUAAUACAGUGGUUCCCAAACUUUUUGGAAUCAUGGCACCCUAGAGUAUCAGCAUUUUAUUCAUGG